UGCUUCUGUAGCCUAGUGGUUAGAACGUCCGCCUCUGAUGCAAGAGGUCGUGGGUUUGAUACCCGGCCGAGUCAU